rnacentral:rRNA from 1 species
UUGCACGCUGGCGGCAUGCCUUACACAUGCCAGUCGAACGGCAGCACGGGUGCUUGCACCUGGUGGCGAGUGGCGAACGGGUGAGUAAUACAUCGGAACAUGUCCUGUAGUGGGGGAUAGCCCGGCGAAAGCCGGAUUAAUACCGCAUACGAUCUACGGAUGAAAGCGGGGGACCUUCGGGCCUCGCGCUAUAGGGUUGGCCGAUGGCUGAUUAGCUAGUUGGUGGGGUAAAGGCCUACCAAGGCGACGAUCAGUAGCUGGUCUGAGAGGACGACCAGCCACACUGGGACUGAGACACGGCCCAGACUCCUACGGGAGGCAGCAGCGGGGAAUUUUGGACAAUGGGCGAAAGCCUGAUCCAGCAAUGCCGCGUGUGUGAAGAAGGCCUUCGGGUUGUAAAGCACUUUUGUCCGGAAAGAAAUCCUUGGCCCUAAUACGGUCGGGGGAUGACGGUACCGGAAGAAUAAGCACCGGCUAACUACGUG